UGCCUUUUGCACUGUGCUUUCAACAGAUCGAUCGCUGCUCGCGCUUAUUGUGAGCGUCGCUUAGCGCGGAAAUGCUGUGCCUCGGGCGUACCGUGUAUGUAAGCGCGGCGAGGCUCGCUCCGUGGCCGUCCGAGUGCCCACGUCUCCAGGCGGCAAGUGAUUUGGCUCACAUACUGCGUGAGCAAAAACAUAGGCACGUGGCUUUUGAAGGAGAUGACCGGCGACUUGCUUAAUCUGUAGGGCCACGUCAUCGCCGACUGGACGAACUACGCUCCUAAGGUCGUGCGGGACAGGCUGCUGGCGCGACCCCCACUCGGUGGCCCCGGGAAGAUUGUGCAAAUUGAUGAAUGCCUCCGCGGCAAGCGAAAGUACAAUUGAAGCCGCCUGAUGACGGGCGACAACGUUCCGCCGAGCCGCCAAAAUUACGGCGGCAUUGCAGAUCGUGAACCAUAAGUAUACGGCAUGAUCUUCGUGACCACCGGGGAGCUCCGACUUUUCAAGGUUGACUGACGAGACUCGGCGACGCUAGGCUCCAUUAUUGCAGCCAAUGUUCAACCGGGGACGGACCACCAUCCACAGUGAUGAAUGAGUCGCACUGCAUCCCACACUUAGUGGAUGCUCACAGAGCGAGCCUCAAUCUGCAAUGGGAAACAGCAAACGACAGCGUGAACUUUAUGGGCCCGAUCACGGGUGUUCACACGCAAAAAUAGAAAAUUAUUGGCAGAAAGUGAAGCGCCACCUCCUCUCCGCCGGCUACAGGUGCCGAUGGAAGUCCGUGGUCACCAACAGAGACUACAAGGAUUUGUAGCAGACAUUUUGUCGGGAAUUGCAAAAGUAACUGCAGCCAACACCCAUCGUAUGUGCCGACCAUUUUUCCGGCGGCGUACAAGACGCAGACACCUGACCCAGAAGUGGCGCAGAGAUGGAAACGGCAUUCUGUAAGGGCAGCCAGAUCACUGCAAAAUCCUGUGGAGCAGGCUGUGCCUCAAAGUACCCCUCAAGUUUACCCACAAAUGCAAGAUCAAGAUUCCUCUGCUUGCCUGGACGUCUACGACACACUUGCAAGUGAUGCGAAAUCACCAGAGAUGCCUCUCACACCUAUCAGUGAUGACCCUCAGCCUUCGGCAGGACGCUAUGAAACCCAACAAGCUCAACCACUUACACAGGCUGAUGCUGCAUGCCAAACAGAACCAGAACCCGGAGGAAAUCUGGUUAUCCUCCUGUCAGCGACAAAUGGGUCUGAAGCAUCAACUCAAGUUUCUCACAUUGAACAAUGUGACAAGGUCACUGGGACUGAUGGAAGCUGGGAGAGUAAAUUUGAACUUACGCAAAAUGAGAUUGCUUUGCAAGAUAUAUGUGGCGCCACCAUACAGGUCUUUUAGUCUUUUGCUCAAUAUUCUGCCAGAGCCUAGCUACCGAAGCACAGAUAUGACCCGCGAAGACAAGAUUGUCUCUUUUUAUCCAAGCCUAAGCUUAGGGUAAGCUUCAAUGCUAUGGCUGCAAUUUUCGGAGUGGCUGAAUCAACUGGAUCAAGUGUAUUAAAAAAAACGCUCAACAUACUUAGCGCAGCCUUGAAAGAGUGGGUAUUUGUGCCACCACGGGCUAUCAUCAAGCAGUGCAUGCCACAGCCAUUCAAAGAAAAUUAUCCAGACUGCACAUUUAUUAUUGACUGUACAGAAGUUCAAGCUGAAACGCCAUCAAAUCCCAACUGCCAGCACGUACUCUACUCCAAUUACAAGGGAGGUUAUACUUUGAAGGUCCUUGUCGGUAUAAUUCCAAAUGGAAUGAUAGCCUUCAUGUCAGGGGUAUAUGGUGGGCGGCAGACCGAUUCCUUUAUUGCCCAAGACUCUGGUUUUCUUAAUUUUGUACAAGAAGGGGAUAUUACCUUGAGCAAUAAAGGGUUUCCACGCAUCUGGACAGAUGUUAAGGACAAAUGCCGAGUUAUUUUGAUGCUUCCCUUCAAUUCUGGAGUUGGUCAACUGUCUCCAGGAGAUAUGGAUGCAACAUAUAAAAUUGUAUCUGUGCGUAUCCAUGUUGAGCGGGUUAUUCGCGGACUGAAAAUAUGCCGGAUCCUGCGGAACACAGUGCUCUUAACUUUGGUGCUGCACAUGGACAAAGUGUUCUCGGUAUGUGCUGCUUUGGUCAAUAUGCAGCCACCAUUAAUUAGAAAGAAAGGAUGAGUGCAUUGUUUGUAAUGCUUUGUGAGUGAGUUUUGCAUGGAAAUUUUGUGUGUGAAUAUAAUUCCUAAAGGAAAUUUACCAAUGUGUAAAUCAAGAUUGCCAAUGUUAUUUGUCUUGCACACAGGCUAAGAGUACAAAGUUACAAAUGUGGCAUCAUGAUGGACCAGCACAUUUGUUUCUGCACAGCCAAAAGAGAACUUUAUUGAAAGAUCAUGUAGUUUAUUCGUUCGUAAAGGUGUCUUUAGUUGGGCACUAAUUGCACAGCAUGAUUGAGUUAGCUUAUGGUGCACUGCAAUAUUACUUUGUGUCUGCUGUAUGCACAAUGAUUUUGUUUGCAAUGGCUUGCGAUUUCAAUAAAUAUUUCAUUUAUCAGUGCA